GCCUGAGUGGUGAAAUUGGUAUACACGCCAGACUUAGGAUCUGGUGCCGCAAGGCGUAAGAGUUCGAGUCUCUUCUCAGGCACCA
rnacentral:tRNA from 1 species